CCACUUCAUUGCUUUUACUGGCCUGUCCUCUUUUACUUUGGUAAGUUGGAUCCAACCAUCACUUCACCCACACGUUUUCCUAGAGAGGCUCUUGUCUCCGAAACGUCACUCCUCUCUUCUCCGUUCUCCACCUGCAGCUCCGUCUCAGGUUCCUACCCUUUCAUCAGUGAGACCCCUGACUGGAACUUCCUGUCUCCCCAAACACCCCAUCCCCAGACCAGCAGGGGCACUGGCUCAGUGAAGUGGAAUGGGAAGCGGGCAGACAGGCAGGCAGACAGGCUCUCUCCCAUCACCCCUGAGCAGAUCAACCUCUAUAAGGUCAAACCAGGCCAUACCAGGUCUAAAGGCUCCAAGGAGUCCAGCAGCCCCAAAAAAACAGGUGAAACAUUCAAAGAGCGCUCACAGAGCCCCAAAAAGUCUGAGAAGAAGACCCAGGAAGCAGUGACAAGCAAGGGCAGGAAUGCUUACCCUCAGAAAGGAAGUCGGUCACCCAGCCCCAGAAAGUUCCCUCGAGAAGGACACGAAGUCUUGAGCCAGCCACACAUAAAGAAACAGCAGGUACAGCAGAGCACAUCAAAGGACCUUUUCAGCAAGGAGUCCUUUGAGAAAAACAAAAACUACAAAAGGGGGGAUUCAAAGGGCAGGAAAAGCAUGCAGGAGAGAGAGGGGGGAGGGGGAACUACCAAGGCUGCCCAUGAGCAGGCUAGUAUUCGAAGGAGGGUUGGGACAGAGGCAGGACAUCACAGGCCAACUCCUCAGGAGGGCAAGGAGACAGGGGCAAGGAGAGAUAUUCUGAGAGACGGGGAAAGGGAAAAACACAAAGAGGAGAAAAGGAAAAAAGACACAGGGAAUUCCUCAAAAGAGGAAAAGACUAUAACAGAUUCUGGAGCCUAUACAACAGAGGAAAGCAGUAGAAAAUACUCUGUGUUAUCCCCAAUAGAGGAGAGGAUCAGAAAAGACACAGGGGCCUCCUCAAAUGACGUUCAGGAGGAUGCUCAGAGCCAAAAGGGUCAUAUUAGCCCUGGACCCUGGAAAGUGCCCAGCUCAGCCAGAAUCCUCUCCCAGGCUGAGGUGCUGCGUGACCUCACUUGCUGA
rnacentral:lncRNA from 13 species